rnacentral:rRNA from 1 species
GACGAACGCUGGCGGCGUGCUUAACACAUGCAAGUCGAACGAAGUGGCGAACGGGUGAGUAACGCGUAAUCAACCUGCCCUUCAGAGGGGGACAACAGUUGGAAACGACUGCUAAUACCGCAUACUGACGGUGGGGAUUGCGUCGGAUUAGCUAGUUGGAGGGGUAACGGCCCACCAAGGCGAUGAUCAGUAGCCGGUCUGAGAGGAUGGACGGCCACAAUGGGAAUGAGACACGGCCCAGAAUCCUACGGGAGGCAGCAGUGGGGAAUCUUCCGCAAUGGACGAAAGGCUGACGGAGCAACGCCGCGUGAGUGAUGGCGGCCUUCGGGUUGUAAAGCUCUGUUAAUCGGGACGCGGUACCGGAAUAGAAAGCCACGGCUAACUACGUGCCAGCCGCCGCGGUAAUAC